CGCGGCCUAUCAGCUUGUUGGUGGGGUAACGGCCUACCAAGGCGACGACGGGUAGCCGGCCUGAGAGGGCGACCGGCCACACUGGGACUGAGACACGGCCCAGACUCCUACGGGAGGCAGCAGUGGGGAAUAUUGCGCAAUGGGCGAAAGCCUGACGCAGCGACGCCGCGUGAGGGAUGACGGCCUUCGGGUUGUAAACCUCUUUCAGCAGGGAAGAAGCGAAAGUGACGGUACCUGCAGAAGAAGCACCGGCCAACUACGUGCCAGCAGCCGCGGUAAGACGUAGGGUGCGAGCGUUGUCCGGAUUUAUUGGGCGUAAAGAGCUCGUAGGCGGCUCGUCGCGUCGACCGUGAAAACCCGCGGCUUAACUGCGGGCUUGCGGUUGAUACGGGCGGGCUAGAGUUCGGUAGGGGAGACUGGAAUUCCUGGUGUAGCGGUGAAAUGCGCAGAUAUCAGGAGGAACACCGGUGGCGAAGGCGGGUCUCUGGGCCGAUACUGACGCUGAGGAGCGAAAGCGUGGGGAGCGAACAGGAUUAGAUACCCUGGUAGUCCACGCUGUAAACGUUGGGCGCUAGGUGUGGGGGGCCUCUCCGGUUCUCUGUGCCGCAGCUAACGCAUUAAGCGCCCCGCCUGGGGAGUACGG
rnacentral:rRNA from 1 species